CAUGGAGUUCAAAGCUUCACACACCUGGAAACAGCAGCAGGGUUAUGUCACUGCUGCAGGUUUGUGAUGAAGUGGAGCGAAAACAUCCAGCUUUGGGAAAGAAGUGACAAAGAUUUGACUGCGUCUGCAAAAAGUGCUUCACCUGCCUCCAGAGAAAUCUCUGCCAUAGCAGCUGUACCUGGAGGCCAGAGAGGAGGCUCUCGUUGAAGAGUUACCAGGAGUUAACAGGUAUUGACUCUUUAUAUUUCUCCCAUACGUCUAUAAGGAGAACAUGAACCUUUUUAUCCCUCUUGGAGACUCUGAUGCAGACAUGUGGUGUUUAACUGAACCAAACACACACAACAAACGUGACCUUCCAUCUCCACACACAACUAUUCUCCUGACUGGUCAAGACUGGAAAAUGUCCUUCUUCACCAAACGAGCUCCAAACGUUGUGAAAGCAGACGAUGUUGAGGAAGGGAUCAUCUCUGCCUUCUGCACUGACUUUGUCUUCAAGCUGGCAAACCCGAGACACCUGAAGACACACUGACGUUCCUCCAGAGGUGCAUGGUGGUGACCAACCUCUGUCAAGAACUGUUAACAGGACCAUAAAUCUUCUUUAUUCACUCCAUUAUGCCGCAUACCUAGCAGUGCUUCUAAUGCUCCAGGAGAGAAUCUACCUUAAAUGAAUUCAGCACAAAGGACUUUAUAGAAUUUAUUAUUAUUGUUUUAUGGUAUAAAGUUAGAGGAAGAAAAACUGUAGAACAGAUGAUGAUGUUUGUUGUGAUUUCAUCUUUCAUUCUGUUGCAUGUUUGUGUGUGAAUGACGCCUAACAAAGCUUCUUUAUUUUCAUCACUGGCUGAAAUAAGUUAAACUAAUGACAAUAAAACCACCAAUAGAUGGAGGCCUGAGAAACGUAGGAAAGACCAGAACUGUUAGUUCCACAUGUGUCUGAUCAUCCAGUGUGUAACAGCAACGAGCAACGCAAAGCAACAUGUUUAGUUUUUUCUAGAAGUUUCUUUGUAACAUGCUCCAUCAUACAAGUACAACAUGCAUGUAAGCUGAGCCCCGUC